rnacentral:rRNA from 1 species
UACGUAGGGACCAAGCGUUGUUCGGAUUUACUGGGCGUAAAGGGCGCGUAGGCGGCAAUUCAAGUCAGCUGUGAAAUCUCCGGGCUUAACUCGGAACGGUCAGCUGAUACUGCUUUGCUAGAGUGCAGAAGGGGCAAUCGGAAUUCUUGGUGUAGCGGUGAAAUGCGUAGAUAUCAAGAGGAACACCUGAGAUGAAGACGGGUUGCUGGGCUGACACUGACGCUGAGGCGCGAAAGCUAGGGUAGCAAACGGG